AUUGAACGCUGGCGGCAUGCUUUACACAUGCAAGUCGAACGGACUUUGGAGCUUGCUCCAGAGUUAGUGGCGAACGGGUGAGUAAUAUAUCGGAACGUACCCGGCAAUGGGGGAUAACGUAGCGAAAGUUACGCUAAUACCGCAUAUGCCCUGAGGGGGAAAGCAGGGGACCAGUAAUGGCCUUGCGUUGUCGGAGCGGCCGAUAUCGGAUUAGCUAGUUGGUGAGGUAAAGGCUCACCAAGGCGACGAUCCGUAGCGGGUCUGAGAGGAUGAUCCGCCACACUGGGACUGAGACACGGCCCAGACUCCUACGGGAGGCAGCAGUGGGGAAUUUUGGACAAUGGGCGAAAGCCUGAUCCAGCCAUGCCGCGUGAGUGAAGAAGGCCUUCGGGUUGUAAAGCUCUUUCAGGUGGAAAGAAAAGGUUACGGAUAAUACCUGUAACUGAUGACGGUACCAUCAGAAGAAGCACCGGCUAACUACGUGCCAGCCGCCGCAGUAAUAC
rnacentral:rRNA from 1 species